UAAGAAAAGUUAAAUUUAAUCCGAACAAAUUCAUUCCGCAUCGAUUCAAUUUUCAAUCCGGCCUCCUCCUAGGCCUGAUUGAAAAAAGAGAUAAUUGGAAAAUUUUUAUUCACCCAGGAAUCGAAAUCUGAAAAUUUUGCAUAUUUAAUACGGACAAAUGGAUUCGUCCUUUUCGAUUUCGAUUUUAUGAUUAAAAAUUGACGAUUCAAUUUUCAAUCCGACCGCCUAGGCCUAAUUGAAAAAAGGAAUAAUUGAAAAAAUUUUUAUUCACCCGAAAAUCAAAAUCAGAAUAAAAAUUUCGCAUACUAAAUACUGACAAACGGAUUCAUCCUUUUCGAUUUCGAUUUUAGGAUUAAAAAUGGGCGAACCAGACACGCCGAUAAAGUAUUUAUUUUUAUUUUUAUAUUAAAGAAACAAAAAAAAAAAAAAA
rnacentral:lncRNA from 1 species